ensembl:lncRNA
GUCUCAGUCCAUGGAGAGGUCUCCCCUCUCACUGAGAUGUGCCCAGAGCCUAUCAGGUGAGUCUCUUUUCUAGAAAGGACAGUGCAUCUUUCUUUAUGGUGAUUUCAGGUUGUUUUCCAAAACGGGUGAAUUUGCACAUGGGUCCUUUAAGAGCUGGCCUUUCCCCACUUAUGUCUGAUAGCUUUUCUAGGGGUAUUCCAGAUAUUAUGACAGAUAUUAUGACACCUCCCUCACCGGUGCUGAGUUCGAAGGAUGCUUACAGUGGUAAUGCACCCCCCUCAGAUCCCUCGCUCUUCCAGGGAGGGCUGCAUGCACUUUAGGAUUACUCCUGGCUGGCUGUGAAGGUCUGCAGCUCACCAAGGUGGCUUUUUCCCUCUGCAGAAAGAAAAAACCCAAAAACUUACAGCUAAGAUCAUAUUUAGUUCUGAGAAACUAGAAGCUUUCUCACUAAGAUCAGGAGCAAGACAAGUGUGUCCCCCCCUCACUACACCUUUUCAACAUCCUAUUUCAAGUCUUAUCUAAUGCAAUAGACAAGACAAGGAAAUAAAAGUGUUAUGGGCUUUUUGGAGUUAUUUCUUCCAAAACUCAUAUGUUGAAGUCCUAGUAUUUCAGUUUGUGGCUAUAUUUGGAGAGAGAACCUUCAAAGAAGUAAUUAAAUAAGGCUGUUAGGGUGGGCUCUAAUACAAUCUGACUGGUGUGUUUAUGAGGAGAGGAGAUUAUGACACACAGAGAGACACCAGGGGUGCAUGUACACUGAAAGACGACCAUGUGAAGAAGGAGCAAGAGGGUGGCCAUCUGUAAGACAAGGAAAGAGGCCUCAGGGGAAACCAAGUUGCUGACACCUUGAUUGUUAGACUUCUAGACUCUAGAACUGUGUUGUUCUAGAUUUGUUGUUAAAGCCACCCAGUCUGUGAUAUUUUGUUAUGGUGGCUCUAGAAAACUAAUGCAAAAAGGUAACAAGAAAGGGAAGGAAGAAAAAACUCUCUUUGGUCACAGAUGACAUGAUUGCCUAUGUAGAAAGUCAGCAAGAAUUUACAAAAAAUCUCCUGAAACUAAUAAGAGAUUAUAGGAAGAUUGCAGGACACUUGGUUAAUAUAUAAGAUAUAGUGGCCUUUCCUUUGGUUUUCUGGCAUUUCCAAGUUUGUGGUAAAAGUUUCAAUAUGAAUUUUUUCUCCAGUCUGCCGUGGGGCAGACAUCACACUUGUGCAACCUUGACCAGAGUAAAUUAUUUUCCACACCAGGUUAAUAUACAAGAGUCAACUGUUUCCCAUACUAGCAAUGAACAAGUGGACUUUAAGGUUAAAAACAAAAUGCCAUUUAUAUUAGCAUCUCCCCCAAAUGAAAUGCUUAUGAAUAAAUCUUUCAAAAUACGUACAAGAUCUAUGGGAGGAGAACUAUAAAACUCUAGUGGAAGAAAUCAAAGAACCUAAAUAAAUGGAGAGAUAUUCCAUGUUCAUCGAGAGGAAGACUCAAUAUUAUCAAGAUGUCAGUUCUUCCCAACUUGAUCUAUACAGCCAAUGCAAUCCUAGACAAAAUCCCCCAUGUAAGUUAUUAGGUAGAUAUCGACAAACUUUGGAUAUUGAAUCUAAACUUUAUUGAUAGAGACAAGAGACCCAGAAUAGCCAACAUGUUAUUGAAGGAGAAGAACAGAAUCAGAGCACUGACACUACACAAAUUCAAGACUGACUAUAGCUACAGUCUUCAAGAUGUGUGAUAUUGGUGAAGGAAUUCAACAGAUUAAUGGAAUAGAAUGGAGAGACUAGAAAUAGAGCCACAUAAAUUUAGUCAACUUAUGUUUGACAAAGAGUAAAGGUAAUACAAUGGAGAAAAGACAACCUUUUCAACAAAUGGCAUUGGAACAACUGGACAUCCACAUGCAAAAAUGUGAACCUAGAGAUAAACUGUACACUAUUCACAAAAAUUAAUUCAAAUGGAUCAUAGCCUUGAGUGUAAAACACAAAAGUUUGAAACUCCUAGAAGAUAUCAUAGAAGAAAUCAAGAGGACCAUGCAUAUGGCAAUGCCUUUUUAGGUAAAACACCAAAGGCACGAUCCAUAAAAGACAUAAUUGAUAAGUUGGACUUCACUAAAAUUAAAAACUUCUGCUCUGUGAAAGACAUUGUCAAAGAAUAAGAAAAGACACAAGCUGGGGAAAAAUGUUUGCAGAAGACAUUUGCAAACCUCUGAUAAACAAUAUCUGAUAUCUGAUAUCAGAUCUGAUAAACUAUCCAAAAUAUGCAAAGAACUCUGAAUACUCAACUACAAGAAAAAAAACAAGCUGAUUGAAAAAUGGACCAAAGACCUUAACAGACACCUUACCAAAGAGAUUAUACAUGUGACACAUAAACAAAUGCAAAGAUGUUCCACAUCAUCUGCCAUCAGUAAAUGCAAAUUAAAACAACGAGCUACCACUACAGACCUAGCAGAAUGGCCAAAAUCCAGAACACUGACAACAUCAAAUAUUGGUGAGCAUGUGGAGAAACAGGAACUCUUACACAUUGCGGGCGGGAAUUGCAAAAUAGUCACUUUGGAAGACAAUUGGCAGUUUCUUACAAAACUAAACAUUCUUACUAUACGAUCUAGCAAUUAUGCUGCUUGGUAUUUACUCAAAGGAACUGAAAACUUAUGUCCACACAAAAACCAGCACACAGAUGUUUAUAGCAUCUUUAAUCAUAAUUGCUAAAAUUUGGAAGCAACUAAGAUUUCCUUCAAUGAGUGACUGGAUAAAUAAACCAUGGUACAUCCAGACAAUGGAAUAUUUUCAACACUAGAAAGAAAUUAGCUAUCAACCUGUGACAAGACAUGAAGGAACCGUAAAUGCAUGUUACUAAGUGAAAGAAGCCAAUCUGAAAAGCCUACCUAUCGUAUGAUUCCAACUUUAUGACAUUCUGGAAAAGGUAAAACUAUAGAGACAGGAAAAAGAUCAGUG